GCGUUUGUAGUUCAAUGGAAGAAUCGCAGACUCUUAAUCUGUCAGAUGCAGGUUCAAGUCCUGUCAAGCGCA
rnacentral:tRNA from 1 species